rnacentral:rRNA from 1 species
ANAUUUCGAGGAACNCUGGCAGCGUGUNUAACACAUGCNANUCNAACGAUGAAGUAUUCUUCGGAAUACGGAAGNGUGGCGAACGGGUGAGGNACACGUAAGGAAUCUGCCCCUCGGUCGGCGACAACUCUUGNNAACGAGUAGCUAAUACCCGAUACGCUGUGGAGUGAAAGAAUUUCGCCGAGGGAUGAUCUUGCGUCUGAUUAGCUGGUUGGUGUGGUAAUGGCNCACCCANGUUUUUUUUUCAGACCUUG